ACUUUUUUUGUCAGUUGUCAGAGCUAGCGUUUAAACUAGCAGAAAAAAGUAGAGAUUUUCGGAUCAGAAAGUUUAGAUCGUAUGCGACAUGUAUCACGACGUGAAGAGAUUAUUAAGAUUAUUUGUUUUCUCGCCGAAGAUAUUUUUCUUGCCCGACGAGUGCAUCCCCGGUCAAGAUUCUUGAACGGAUUCUCUUGAAACAUCCUGACUGGGUGCCUGUGAACCACACGGGAGCUAUUUGCGAGGAACGGAACAUAAAAAAUAUAAUAAUGAGAACGACCUGGAGGAUCGUUUAGGAUUCAUAGAGGAAUACCUAUCGAGCAAGUUUCGGUUCUCGGCCUAAGAAUCCUACUUGGAGGAGAAACCGCCCUUACAGCAGCAGGAUCAAUCGGCAUGGC